GACGAACGCUGGCGGCGUGCUUAACACAUGCAAGUCGAACGGUAAGGCCCUUCGGGGUACACGAGUGGCGAACGGGUGAGUAACACGUGGGUGAUCUGCCCUGCUCUUCGGGAUAAGCCUGGGAAACUGGGUCUAAUACCGGAUAGGACUCCUGGCUUCAUGGUUGGGGGUGGAAAGCUUUUGCGGUGUGGGAUGGGCCCGCGGCCUAUCAGCUUGUUGGUGGGGGUAAUGGCCUACCAAGGCGACGACGGGUAGCCGGCCUGAGAGGGUGACCGGUCACACUGGGACUGAGAUACGGCCCAGACUCCUACGGGAGGCAGCAGUGGGGAAUAUUGCACAAUGGGCGCAAGCCUGAUGCAGCGACGCCGCGUGAGGGAUGACGGCCUUCGGGUUGUAAACCUCUUUCAGCUAUGACGAAGCGCAAGUGACGGUAGUAGCAGAAGAAGGACCGGCCAACUACGUGCCAGCCGCCGCGGUAA
rnacentral:rRNA from 1 species